rnacentral:rRNA from 1 species
GCGGACAGAUGGGAGCUUGCUCCCUGAUGUUAGCGGCGGACGGGUGAGUAACACGUGGGUAACCUGCCUGUAAGACUGGGAUAACUCCGGGAAACCGGGGCUAAUACCGGAUGGUUGUUUGAACCGCAUGGUUCAGACAUAAAAGGUGGCUUCGGCUACCACUUACAGAUGGACCCGCGGCGCAUUAGCUAGUUGGUGAGGUAACGGCUCACCAAGGCAACGAUGCGUAGCCGACCUGAGAGGGUGAUCGGCCACACUGGGACUGAGACACGGCCCAGACUCCUACGGGAGGCAGCAGUAGGGAAUCUUCCGCAAUGGACGAAAGUCUGACGGAGCAACGCCGCGUGAGUGAUGAAGGUUUUCGGAUCGUAAAGCUCUGUUGUUAGGGAAGAACAAGUGCCGUUCAAAUAGGGCGGCACCUUGACGGUACCUAACCAGAAAGCCACGGCUAACUACGUGCCAGCAGCCGCGGUAAUACGUAGGUGGCAAGCGUUGUCCGGAAUUAUUGGGCGUAAAGGGCUCGCAGGCGGUUUCUUAAGUCUGAUGUGAAAGCCCCCGGCUCAACCGGGGAGGGUCAUUGG